rnacentral:rRNA from 1 species
UACGUAGGGGGGCAAGCGUUGUCCGGAAUCAUUGGGCGUAAAGAGCGCGUAGGCGGUCCGGUAAGUCCGCUGUGAAAGUCGGGGCUCAACCCUCGAAUGCCGGUGGAUACUGUCGGGCUAGAGUGCGGUAGAGGAUGGUGGAAUUCCCGGUGUAGCGGUGAAAUGCGUAGAGAUCGGGAGGAACACCCGUGGCGAAGGCGGCCCAUCUGGACCAGCACUGACGCUGAGGCACGAAGCGUGGGGAGCAAACAGG